GCCGGUUUCCGUGGCUUAGUCGGGAGAACACCCGACUAUGGUGCGGUAGAACUUGGGUUCGAGUCCCGAUGAAGGCA